rnacentral:rRNA from 1 species
UGCCAGCCGCCGCGGUAAUACGAAGGGACCUAGCGUAGUUCGGAAUUACUGGGCUUAAAGAGCACGUAGGUGGUUAAAAAAGUUGGUGGUGAAAUCCCAGAGCUCAACUCUGGAACUGCCACCAAAACUUUUUAACUAGAGUAUGAUAGAGGUAAGUGGAAUUUCUAGUGUAGAGGUGAAAUUCGUAGAUAUUAGAAAGAACACCAAUUGCGAAGGCAGCUUUCUGGAUCAUUACUGACACUGAGGUGCGAAAGCAUGGGUAGCGAAGAGGAUUAGAUA